rnacentral:rRNA from 1 species
GGGGAAUAUUGGGCAAUGGGCGAAAGCCUGACCCAGCAACGCCGCGUGAAGGAAGAAGGCCCUCGGGUUGUAAACUUCUUUUAUCAGGGACGAAACAAAUGACGGUACCUGAUGAAUAAGCCACGGCUAACUACGUGCCAGCAGCCGCGGUAAUACGUAGGUGGCAAGCGUUAUCCGGAUUUACUGGGUGUAAAGGGCGUGUAGGCGGGACUGCAAGUCAGAUGUGAAAACUAUGGGCUCAACCCAUAGCCUGCAUUUGAAACUGUGGUUCUUGAGUGAUGGAGAGGCAGGCGGAAUUCCUAGUGUAGCGGUGAAAUGCGUAGAUAUUAGGAGGAACACCAGUGGCGAAGGCGGCUUGCUGGGCUUUUACUGACGCUGAGGCUCGAAAGCGUGGGGAGCAAACA